GGGCGGUUAGCUUAGCCUGGUUGAGCGCGGCGCUGAUAACGCCGAGGCCGGGGGAUCGAAGCCCCCACUGCCCA
rnacentral:tRNA from 1 species